CCUCACCACCUUGACACUCACCCAGAUCUAAUAAAUGGCUUGACCAUCAUCACCAUCAUUAAUGGUCUUGUCGCUCGAUAGAUUUAGCUUCCCAAAUGGACGUGAUUACGCAUUUACGCCAUUAGGAGAUUGCCACCGGUGUCAGAGCGAACACCACCACGACUAGAAAGAGGCCGAAGGUACUUAUUCCAAAUAGCGCUUUGGUGCAUAAACUUCGAAAGGGUGGCGCUACGGUCUCAAAUUUGAAACGUGUAUGACGAAAGCGGCCAUUCACAACGCGCCCGCUAGCAGAUGAUACGUCUCCAAAUUAUUUAUAUUUUUUUAUCGUUUCAUGCUACUAUAUUAUCAUUUUAGAAUACUUUUUAAAUAAUUAUUUAUCAAUUUAUAUUAUUUUUGAGCACUAACUUAUUGACCUAGUGUCCAGUGUCAGUUUAUGUUCUUUGUUUCGCGAAAAAUCCAUAACAAACGGACUCCAAAUACGAUAAAAAAAUCACGAAUAUUUUUUAAUAUAUGUGAAUUUUGAGAAUCAGAAUCAACGCAAGACGGUGCCCGAGGGCCCCACAAGCUAACAUGGCACAACCAGGGGGUGGGGUCGCGUCCUGAUAGCUUGUGGCCAGUCCUUAAGUCGGUUGGAACUCGGAUUGCAACUCUGACGAGCGUGUAUGCAAUUUUUUUAAUAAACGGUUGCAGCAAAAAAUGAUACGGUUGUAGCAAAAAUUAACACGGUUGUAGCAAAAGUAAAAAAUAUCGGUUGUAAUGAAACAUCCGACGAACUGAAGUUACAACCAAAUGUAUAUGCAACUUUUUUACUAGACAAAUGUAGCAAAUAAAAAAAGUUUGUAGAAAAAUGAAUACUGAUUGCAACAAAUUUAGACGGAAAAAAAGUUGCAUGUCUAAUCAACUGCAUGCACGGGUCGCGUGCGCCGGCCGAACGGUUCGGUCGGCGCACCGGCCACAAACGUUUUCCUUAUUAUUAUGGUUUUCUUUUUGGUUAUUACAGUGGACAAUUUUAGCAAGGGUAAGUGGCUUUUUAAGCUACUUAGACAGGAUGGCGUUUGGUAAAAAAUCCUGAAAUGAAAAUACAUAAGCACAAAAUCAUUAUCACACGUACAGUGGAGACCCGGCGACUCACAUUUUUGGGCCGGUCUAAUGACGACUAAGAAACAUUUCUUUCGCUUUGGGGUAUUUAAGAUUAAGGUUGGUUCAGAAAUUAGUUUUUGGGAGGACAAGUGGUUAGGGAAUACCAUCCUCCGAAAAACUAUAUCCGGCUCUAUACAAUAUUGUGUGACACAAAGGUGCUACACUUACUUCUGCUAUGCAAGUGUGGCCACCGAUCGUGACGUUCAGACAAGAUUUAAUUGGUGCGAGACUACAGUCUUGAUAUACCUUGUUGAGACGCCUGACCCCGAUUCAGAUGUCACAAGAUACCGAUGAGUUUCGUUGGAAUCUAUAUGAGAAUGGAAAAUUCUCGGUGGAUUCCAUGUAUAGGGUGCUGGCAUAGGCUGAAGUGUCAAUCGAUGAUAACAAAGAAAUAUGGCGCAUGGAGGUUCCACUAAAACUAAAGAUAUUUGCGUGGUACCUUUGGAAAGGGGUCAUUUUAACUAAAGAUAACCUAGUCAAAUAAAACUGAUAUGACAAUACGAAAUGUGUAUUAUGUCCUCAAAAAGAGACAAUAAAACACUUAUUCUUUAAAUGCCAGUUUGCGCGGUCUAUUUUGUCAGCUAUACAUAUGGCUUCCAACUUGUAUCAAUCUACAUGAGUAGCAAAUGUUUUUGGUAACUGGUUAUUCGGGAUAGACACUAAGUUUAGAACCAUUUUAUGGACAGGAGCGCUCGUCGUUAUAUGGUCGUUAUGGCUCAGUAGAAAAUGACAAGGUUUUUAACGAUAAACAUUAUUCUCGUCUCCAUGUUAUCUUUUGGUGCACAAGUAUUCUCCGUUGGUGGUUCGCAUUACAACGGAUGGAGUUUCGUGACCUUUUUAUGAAGGCUUAUGUGCGAUUGGAAAAAGUGGCGAUAGAUAUUUUUAUCCCACAUGGAUGGCACCUUGAUCUCCGGAUAAGCCCUUCAUAGAAGACAAGGAUUUACUUCUACUAGAUUGUAUUACGCCGAUUGCUGUUUCACUUGUUUUGGAUUUUUUAAAGUGUGGCAGUGUGCAUCCUAGUUAUGUAGAGACCGGAUGUAAUCUUUUAAAUUUUUUAAGUAAUAGAAAGCAUUUUAUAAAAAUAAUAGUUCAAAAUAAUAGUACAUCGCCGGAGAGGAAGGCGGAAGCUUCUCGAGUCUGGUUCGUGGGAAGCCCACUUUUCUCAGAUCUGAUACUGAGCCAUCGCAUCCAGGUACGCAAACAGAUAUUUCGGGCUGGUCUGCAGCCGUGAGCCGUCCGUUCACGAUCCAACGUCCCCGGCGCGCGCAGAAUAGUCCUCCCCGGAUCGUGACACCCACCGCCGACCGAAGACGCCUUCCCACUAGAGACACACACGAGUUCCCAACGGACACGCUCCCCGCUCUCCCACGACACGCGAGAAUCCGCGAAACAAUCCAACCAUUCCCACCAUCCCACCCCGUGACACCGCAGCACGGACCCACGCAGACCUUCAAAACCACGGGACCCAUUCACAGCGACAGAGACCACAAAGCCGUCCCGUACGGUUAUACAUUGAUCGCGCCGAACUCUGCCAGGCGGGCCCCACCCGAGAGUUCCUGGGCUGUGUAUGGGCCACGCCACGGCCGGUUCAGACAGCCGCUGCUGUAUAAGUAGCGGCCCGGCUCCUCGCUGCUUCCUCCUCUCCCGAGUCCGUCCGCAGCCGCCGCCAGCAGCUGCGCAAAGGCUCGACAAACCCUAACCCUAGCUUAGCUUAGCUUCCUUCUCGGCCGAUCUAGAGCCAUGGCGCCGACCAAGGGCGAGGGGCCGGCCAUCGGCAUCGACCUCGGCACCACCUACUCGUGCGUCGGCGUGUGGCAGCACGACCGGGUCGAGAUCAUCGCCAACGACCAGGGCAACCGCACCACGCCCUCGUACGUCGCCUUCACCGACUCGGAGCGCCUCAUCGGCGAUGCCGCCAAGAACCAGGUCGCCAUGAACCCCAUCAACACCGUCUUCGGUGAGGCACCCCCCCUCUUCCACUCUCCCUCUCCGUCUUUCCAGAUCUGUUUGUAUGCUUGCUUUUGCUGCUAGAUGCGCGCGUCGUUGACCCGUCGCUUGGCGCUAGUUUUUUUUUUGCUUCAGUAGAUCCGCCGGCCAAGUAAGUUUGAACGGAAUAGCACUAGAUUUUAGCCGUUGACCGGUCGCUUGUUGCGAGUUGUUCUGCUUUCGUAGAUCCGCCGAGCAUGCUUGAGUAAAUCUAUUCAAAAGUAGAUUUGAUCGCUGGAGGCGACCCAUGGCCUGCGCGCGAAUUUUUUGGUAGUUAGGCUGCAUCUUUCGGCCUUUAGGUGUCUGACUUGCUAGAUCUGUGAUGUGCCGUGGUCAUGUAUAAUUGUAUAUGUUUGCUAACAACUUUCUUGGAUCUACUUUUGGAGCUUGUCUAACUGUUCCUCUUAUUGUGAUUGUUUCAUGUCCCUCAGCUAUGGUCUACUUGGAUCCAUAUAGCUGCACGAUCAUUUUCUGAUUUUUGUUGUAUAUUGUGAACUAAAUAUCUUUUUACUGAAGUCAUGUAUUUCUUUUUGAUGGAACCACAGAACUACUGUACACUUGAGUAUAUGCUAGCACUUUUUUAACUAAGGUUGUUGUCAUCAUUUCAUUGCCAACUGUUCUCAUCAUAAUAACGUAAACGUGCAUGCUAUUUUGUGUCCCGUUUUUAUUUCAAAAUUACACAACGUACGGUUUCUUGGAUCUACUUUUGAAUCUUGUGUCUAGUUGUUCCUUCAACUAUGAUUUUUCAUGAUCCUCAGCUGUGGUCCAUUUAAAUCCAUAUAUAUAUAUAUAGCAGCUUCAUCAUUGUUUUGGCUUGAUACUAUAUAUUUAUUAUCAUGAGUGAAUUAUUAGACAAAUCACACUUAAAUUCUUAAAUUGUUUUCUUAUAGCUGGCAUAUAGAUUGGUUCUGUCUAUUCCUACUCUUAAUUGUUAGUGAAAUUUGGAGGGAACUAAUUACCUGUAGUUCUACACUUCAGUGCAUGCCAGCAGUUCUUUUAGCAUAUUCUAUGACUAUUUGAUAGGAAGCUAUAUCUUAUUUCUAGAAGUCCCAAGUUAAAAGUCAUGUUUCUUUAUUGAGCAUGUUGUGUGUACUUUAUUUUGGCAGCUACAUGCAGCACUAAUAAUCAAUUAAAUUGUUACACUAUUUGGCACACUAAAUUAUUAAUGAAGUUCCACUCCCACUCAAGAUAUGCGCUAGAUUAUGUCCUUGUAAAGUUGUUUUAGACAUGGGAUAUUCACACUACUGCUUAUAGCUGCCAUAUAUACCUAGCGUCUUAUUACCCAUGUUAUUUUAUAUUAACCGGAUACAAGCAUGUGUUAUAUGUGAUCACUGGAAAUGCAUGCAGCUCUGUACAUGCUUCCACUUACUUGCGAAUCAUGUUUUUGACUUUGAAAUCUAUACUUGCUAGUGUACAUUGAAUGUAAGUGUGUCCAUGGUGUUAUUUCAUUAAAAUUUUAGUCUUUAUCCAAAUAUUUUUGGAAGAACUUUGAAUUAUGUAAGUAGAUAUGGGCUGCAUGUAUGUGUGAGACAUGUGGUCACUGAAUUCCAUAUGUACCUUGUGCAAGCUUCCAGUUACUUCUGCAAUAGUUUGUGGCUUAUUCAAGCUAGGACAAAGACAUGUAGGAAUAUGGUUUAAGGGAUAGAUUAUUCGGUUUGAGAAUUUAAGCUAUACUUUCCACCAAAGCUCACUGUUUGUCUAGACAUGUUCAUAAGAACUUCAAAAUAUAAUACAUGCUUGAAGUUCAUAAGAAAUAUAAAGCUCUUGCAGAACUUCAGAAUAAAAUACAUGGUUGAAAUCCUCUAGUACCACCACAGUAAUUUAUUGGUCAGAAGUCAUUUUAGCUGAACCAUUGUUGAUAAAUACAUGCAAAUUCUUGGGUCGUAUUACUGUUUGAAAUUCCAGCCAAUUCUUCUAACAGUCAGUUUGUUAAUGAAACUCUGCAGAUGCGAAGCGUCUUAUUGGCAGAAGGUUUGCUGAUGCCCCUGUCCAGAGUGACAUUAAGAUGUGGCCGUACAAGGUUAUUCCUGGCCCUGCAGACAAGCCUAUGAUCGUAGUGCAGUACAAGGGUGAGGACAAGCAGUUUUCUGCUGAAGAAAUUUCUUCCAUGGUCCUCAUCAAGAUGCGUGAGAUUGCCGAGGCUUACCUAGGAGUAACUAUUAAGAAUGCCGUUGUCACUGUGCCUGCUUACUUCAAUGAUUCCCAGAGGCAGGCAACCAAGGAUGCUGGUGUUAUUGCUGGUCUUAAUGUGAUGCGUAUCAUCAACGAGCCAACAGCAGCUGCAAUUGCCUAUGGUCUUGACAAGAAGGCUACCAGUGUCGGUGAGAAGAAUGUGCUUAUCUUUGACCUCGGUGGCGGCACUUUUGAUGUCUCUCUCCUCACUAUUGAGGAGGGUAUCUUUGAGGUGAAGGCCACAGCUGGUGACACUCACCUUGGUGGGGAGGACUUUGACAACCGUAUGGUGAACCACUUUGUCCAAGAGUUCAAGAGGAAGCACAAGAAGGAUAUCAGCGGAAACCCCAGGUCUUUGAGGAGGCUCAGGACUUCAUGUGAGAGGGCGAAGAGGACCCUUUCUUCCACUGCCCAAACCACCAUCGAGAUCGAUUCACUCUUUGAGGGAGUUGAUUUCUAUUCCACCAUCACCAGGGCCAGGUUUGAGGAGCUCAACAUGGACCUCUUCAGGAAGUGCAUGGAGCCUGUGGAGAAGUGUCUGAGGGAUGCCAAGAUGGACAAGAGCACCAUCCAUGAUGUUGUCCUUGUCGGUGGUUCCACCAGAAUUCCCAGAGUUCAGCAGCUGCUGCAGGACUUCUUCAACGGGAAGGAGCUCUGCAAGAGCAUUAACCCUGAUGAAGCUGUUGCCUAUGGUGCUGCCGUCCAGGCUGCAAUCCUCAGCGGUGAGGGGAACGAGAAGGUGCAGGACCUUCUCCUCCUUGAUGUCACCCCACUGUCUCUUGGUCUUGAGACUGCCGGAGGAGUCAUGACCGUGCUCAUCACAAGGAACACCACCAUUCCCACCAAGAAGGAGCAGGUCUUCUCCACCUACUCUGACAACCAGCCUGGUGUGCUCAUCCAGGUGUUUGAGGGUGAGAGGACUAGGACCAGGGACAACAACCUUCUUGGCAAGUUUGAGCUGUCCGGCAUCCCGCCUGCACCCAGGGGUGUUCCUCAGAUCACUGUUUGCUUUGACAUUGAUGCCAACGGUAUCCUGAACGUCUCUGCUGAGGACAAGACCACCGGCCAGAAGAACAAGAUCACCAUCACCAACGACAAGGGCAGGCUGAGCAAGGACGACAUCGAGAAGAUGGUCCAGGACGCAGAGAAGUACAAGUCUGAGGACGAGGAGCACAAGAAGAAGGUUGACGCCAAGAACUCCCUGGAGAACUACGCCUACAACAUGAGGAACACCAUCCAGGACGAGAAGAUUGCCUCCAAGCUGCCUGCUGAUGACAAGAAGAAGAUCGAGGACGCCGUCGACGCCGCCAUCCAGUGGCUCGAUGCCAACCAGCUCGGCGAGGUUGAUGAGUUCGAGGACAAGAUGAAGGAGCUGGAGGGCCUCUGCAACCCCAUCAUUGCCAAGAUGUACCAGGGUGCUGGUGCUGACAUGCCCGGAGGCAUGGACGAUGAUGUGCCGGCUGCCAGCGGCGGUGCUGGGC
rnacentral:lncRNA from 1 species